UACGGGGGGAGCAAGCGUUGUUCGGAUUUACUGGGCGUAAAGGGCACGUAGGCGGUCGUGACAAGUCACUUGUGAAAUCUCCGGGCUUAACUCGGAACGGUCAAGUGAUACUGUCGGACUAGAGUACAGAAGGGGCAACUGGAAUUCUCGGUGUAGCGGUGAAAUGCGUAGAUAUCGAGAGGAACACCUGCGGCGAAGGCGGGUUGCUGGGCUGAUACUGACGUGAGGCGCGAAAGCCAGGGGAGCGAACGGGG
rnacentral:rRNA from 1 species